rnacentral:rRNA from 1 species
CAUGCACGUCGUUCGUCCCGCGAGGGCGAGGCGUCGGGUGAUUAAGGCAACGGCAACCAACCUCCCAGCUGGGCUUGACCGCGGGAAACCGCGGGUAAUUCCCAUCGAUGUCAUCGAGGGGCUUCCUUUUUUGUCAAAAGUUCCGGCGUUGUGGGACGGGCCGUUGUGGUAUUAGCUUGUUGGCGGGGUGACGGCCCACCAAGGCUGCGAUGCCUACCGGGCGUGCGAGCGUGGCCCGGCACACUGGGACUGAGACACUGCCCAGACUCCUACGGGAGGCUGCAGUCGAGAAUCUUCGGCAAUGGGCGCAAGCCUGACCGAGCGACGCCGCGUGGAGGACGAAGGCCUUCGGGUUGUAAACUCCUGUCGAGGGGGAAGAAGGCCCCGCGAGGGGCUUGACUGAUCCCUGGAGGAAGCACGGGCUAAGUUCGUGCCAGCAGCCGCGGUAAGACGAACCGUGCGAACGUUAUUCGGAAUCACUGGGCUUAAAGCGCGUGUAGGCGGGGCGGCACGUCGGUCGCUGAAAGCCCCCGGCUCAACCGGGGAAGUGGCGCCGAUACGACCGCCCUGGAGGGACGUAGGGGGACCUGGAACUUCCGGUGGAGCGGUGAAUGCGUUGAGAUCGGAAGGAACGCCCGUGGCGAAAGCGAGGUCCUGGACGUUUUCUGACGCUGAGACGCGAAAGCCAGGGGAGCGAACGGGAUUAGAUACCCCGGUAGUCCUGGCCGUAAACGAUGGGCACUGGGUAGGGGGCUCGCCGAUGGGCUCCCUGUCGUAGGGAAACCGUGAAGUGCCCCGCCUG